GGGGCUGUGGUGUAGCUUGGUCCAGCAUUAGAGGUUUGGGACCUCUGGACCCCAGUUCAAAUAAUUGGCGGUGAAGUUAACAACGACUAAAAGCGUCAAUUUGAUUGUCUGGGCAGCCCCA
rnacentral:tRNA from 1 species